rnacentral:lncRNA from 1 species
CGGGAGUUCGACUCAGUAAUUUUCCUACUAUUGAAGAAUAAUAGUCACACAUCGAAUACAUUAAAGAGUACUCUUGUGAUGGUUAUAUACUCUAGAGCCCAUCCAUUUAAACAUUUGUUUUUUUAAAUAUAAUCUUAAUAUAGUAUCAUCGAUCCUUCUUCUCUAUCAAAACUACCAUGCUUCUACUUACUAAUCCGUAUGUAGAAAAUAUAGUUU